GCCGGAGUGGUGAAAUUGGUAGACGCAGGGGACUCAAAAUCCCCCGGCCGCAAGGCCGUGCGGGUUCGAUUCCCGCCUCCGGCACCA
rnacentral:tRNA from 1 species